rnacentral:rRNA from 1 species
GAUGAACGCUGGUGGCGUGCCUAACACAUGCAAGUCGAGCGAUUCUCUUCGGAGAAGAGCGGCGGACGGGUGAGUAACGCGUGGGUAACCUGCCCUGUACACACGGAUAACAUACCGAAAGGUAUGCUAAUACGAGAUAACAUGCUUUUAUCGCAUGGUAGAAGUAUCAAAGCUUUUGCGGUACAGGAUGGACCCGCGUCUGAUUAGCUAGUUGGUGAGGUAACGGCUCACCAAGGCGACGAUCAGUAGCCGACCUGAGAGGGUGAUCGGCCACAUUGGAACUGAGACACGGUCCAAACUCCUACGGGAGGCAGCAGUGGGGAAUAUUGCACAAUGGGCGAAAGCCUGAUGCAGCAACGCCGCGUGAGGGAUGAAGGCCUUCGGGUCGUAAAGCUCUGUCCUCAAGGAAGAUAAUGACGGUACUUGAGGAGGAAGCCCCGGCUAACUACGUG